CGAUCUAGAGCAGGGGUAGGAAACCUUUGGCACUCCAGAUGGUAUGGACUACUUCUCCCCUGAUGCUUUGCCAGCAUUAUGUCUGUAAGAGCAACAUGUGAGAUGCAGUCCACAACAUGUGGAGUGCCAAAGGUUGCCUACUCCUGAUCUAGAAAA